UGCGUGUGUGUUUGCCCCAUCCCAGAGUGCUCCACGAUACCCAGCUAGCGUUCGCUCGAGGAAAAAGACAUCCCGAUCUGUUCGAUCUGGGAACGAGCCCCGCAUCCAUCUGGACCGUCCCAGCAUGAAACACCACACACAACCGACGGAAACCCUAGCCACCCACGCUGCAUAGCUCCUCCCCGCCGCCCCAUUCCUCGCCUCCCCUCCGCCGCCCCUUCGCUUCCUCCUCCCCGCCACGUCCAGCUCCCCAUGAACAGGACUGAGAGGAUGUAGCCCUUCCUCACCGGCGCUCGGUCCGCAGAUGCGACGCGCGAGAGUGAAGGAUGAGCGGCAGUGGCCCACUCCCUCCUCUUCGCUUCCGCCCUCCCUCCCCUGGUCGUCGCCUCUCUUUCCUCACACCGCCUCCUCUCCUCCCAGUGGGCUCGUCUCUCCUCUGUGGGCGAAAUCCAUGGGAAUCACGAUCAACAGCGUGGAGGAUGCGGCAGUGGCAUGGGAAGUCGACGGCGCCGACGAGGAUGGAGACAAAAACUCACUGGACACAGAAACGUACUGGGCUCCAGCGCCGUCGUUGGAGGCGAGGGCCAUCGUGGGCGUGCAGUGACGAGCGCACAGCUUUUCCUCGUAUGGAUGUCAAUGCUUCAACUGCCACCCAAACAUAACUAAAUGGCUCCUGCCGAAGGAAUGUACUGAUGAUGAGUCUACCGCCUUAGUUUACAAAGUAUAUUGCUACGAUGCCCUGCGGUAUUUUAUCUAUGAAGUCAGUAGUCAGAUGGGUUCAGUUACUUGGUUUUGCUUGAGGAGAUCAAUAGUCUGUGGGAUAUCAGUUGAACGUAAACUCAUUAUCGCUGCCUACAAACCAAAACCCACUUAAUCACAACUUGAUCACACUUCGUAUCACAGGUAUGCGAUGUUGCGUCCUUUUCAUGGUUCUAUUGGUAAAGAGUUUCCGUUUCCUUCCCCGUUGUGGUCUCAGUCUGCUGGUCUAGAGGGACUUAUGUUGAACAUUUCGUUUCUGUACUUGGCACACAAUGCACUCAAUACUAUAGGCUUCUUAAAGGACAAUCUUCGAGUGAGUCAAAUUUGCUUCAGAUUCUAGAAUCUAUGUCCUGGAAUUUCAGUACAUCUCAUGUAACAAAUUCCAACAUUUUUUCUAAUUUUAUUACAGGAGUUCUUUUAUUCGGUUUGGUUGUGAGAGUUUAUUCUAGAGCCAACAAGCAAGAAAAAAGUUGGAAUGAACAAUCUACAGGGUAAGUACAGUACCAUAUUAAUCUGUUUUCUUACUGGAGGAUGAGUACUAUUUAGUUCUUGUUUAUGGAAAGCAUACUGAUGAUGAUGGUUCAGGUAAAGAUAUGAUGCAAAAGCAUCGCCGGUUAGACUUAUUCAGUGGUAUCAUUACAUAUGUCGGUAAAAAACUAAGAACGUGUCUAAAUUGUUAGGCUCGCUUGCUCUAUCAGGCCUGUACUUGUCAAACUUUCUUUUAGGUGACAUUAUUAUUUGAACUAUUACAUGCCACACGAGGUUCCUUGAUAAAAUUCUGUGAAGUUUUCCUUCUUUGAAGCUACAAUCAUUUAAAUUCAUACUUAUUGUGAGCUGCAUGAAUCAACUUGCACAAUUUUCCCGAUGGAAUGGUGGUGUUUCUUGGGUCUGUGAAGGUAAUUCCUUUGUGUAUUCAUGUUAUUAUAUUCACAUAAUUGAUGUUCUAAAGAGGUUUUAGGACUUAGACUUCACCUUGCAUUUUUUCUAAUAGAGAAGUUACUGGGGCUUAGCUGGACUGUUGCAAUUUUCGAAGAGCUAAAUUACCAUUUCUGAUUAGAUUGGUCUAAUUAUAUUGGUAUAAUGUAAAAAUACAGGGUGUUCGUGUGGGAAUUAACUGGCUUCUGCUAUUGCCUUACAUAACAUACCUGAUGUGAUGAAAUCAACCCAUCAGCUUUUCUGGUUAAGUAACCUGACUUCUCUUAUCUGAAGGUGUGUGUUGCAUCCUUGCCACUUUGAAUAUCCUUUGCAGGUUUUUUCUAAUAAGAUUCAGCUGCCUUUAUUAUUUGGCUGUUAUAAUGCAAUGUUUAUAUGCCAUUAAAUUUUGAGUUUUUUUUUUGUAUUAACUAGGUCUACACGCUAUCUAAGUUAUAUCGCUGUGAGUGCACGCUAACCAUUAUGAUGUAUAAUAUUACAUUUAGUCAGUCUAUUUUCAGUUUGAUGCUGAGCAAGCAUAAUAGAAUUAGGUGGCAUUAAACGUAUUAGUACACAAGGGACCAAUUUGCAAAUUGUGUUUGCAUGAUCUAUUAUUUUGAAUAAAAUUAGCUGCAGAAUUUUUUUUUGUGUGGAGAGGAUGAUUUAGGGAAGUUAUGGUUGUACAAACAAAUAUCUGAGACUACUGAUUUUGUGUUGUUUACCAUCCGUGCUUCUUAUCUUAUCCAUUAUCCUAUGAUUAAAUAUACGCAUCUUCUUUAGGGACUGUCGAAUUGAUAUGUUUUCAGAAAUAAUUACAAAUUUGCAUAUAGAUUAUUAGAUCUUUAUUUCUAUGCUUAGAUUGUAUGCUUGUAGUAAUUGAAGUCCACCUUUUCUUUUAAUAUUGGUUGAGUUCUUCCCUGGUUUGUUGUAAUCUGUUGUCAUAAAUUAUUAUCUUAAAUCAAUGGGUUACUACCUUUAAGCGCUAUUUAUUGUUCGUUCUAUUUCACAAUAGUGAUAUUCAACUAUAUAUACAUAAAGUUGAUCUAUGUGGACAGGAUACUACAUCUGUAUCAUGAAAUCUUGAAAUCCCUGUAUCAUGAUAGCAUAGACUGACUUUGUUACUGUGUGGGAUCCUACAGCAAACCAAUACAUGUGAGCACAAGAGGUGAAAGCUUACUAGGAGCUUGAUUCACGUGGAAUAGUUGAUAGAUAUCUGAAACCAAGCUGAAUGAGAAGAAGUAAGUGCAAGCUGUGUUACUUCUUCCGUUUUCUUGUUGCACUUUGACUCGCAAUAGGAAGGUAAAUCAUGGUGACUGAUAUUACAUUCAGUGGUUGUUAAUUUCUUCUGUCUUAAUUUACCGAGGCAAACAGUUUUGCAUGUCCAAUGCAAGAACCAGAAACUGCAAGAAGCAGAAAUCAGCUGUUUAACAUAAAUGUGAUACCUAUCUAGGUGAAUCACUUCGUGCUUCAUGUGCAGAUUAGUUCAAAGAAUCAAAUUUCAUUCAAGGCAAGCUAACACAGGUCGAAAAGCAAUUGCCUGAAAACUCUCUCUCUCUGAUGUUUGAGAAGCAAACUCUUGCAGAUAGCUCAGUGCACAAGAGCUAUAUCAAAGUUAGCGAAGCAUCCAUAUAUUGGCAGUUUUGCUUUUGUUUUGCACUGUCAUUUGUGUAUCGUUGGAAGUAAGGAGAUGUGUUUUCUUUAUGCCUGUUGUAGAUGACUGAAUUCUGUAUUUGCUUUAUUGUGGAGUUACCAAGUGAUGUAAAGGCACUGGACUUUGAUUUUCUCCAAGCAAUAAUUUUAGGGCACUCAACUUUGAUUUA